rnacentral:rRNA from 1 species
CUAAUACCCAAUGAUAUCUCUAGAAGGCAUCUGAAAGAGAUUAAAGAUUUAUCGGUGAUGGAUGGGGAUGCGUCUGAUUAGCUUGUUGGCGGGGUAACGGCCCACCAAGGCAACGAUCAGUAGGGGUUCUGAGAGGAAGGUCCCCCACAUUGGAACUGAGACACGGUCCAAACUCCUACGGGAGGCAGCAGUGAGGAAUAUUGGUCAAUGGACGAGAGUCUGAACCAGCCAAGUAGCGUGCAGGAUGACGGCCCUAUGGGUUGUAAACUGCUUUUAUAAGGGAAUAAAGUGAGUCUCGUGAGACUUUUUGCAUGUACCUUAUGAAUAAGGACCGGCUAAUUCCGUGCCAGCAGCCGCGGUAAUACGGAAGGUCCGGGCGUUAUCCGGAUUUAUUGGGUUUAAAGGGAGCGUAGGCCGGAGAUUAAGCGUGUUGUGAAAUGUAGAUGCUCAACAUCUGAACUGCAGCGCGAACUGGUUUCCUUGAGUACGCACAAAGUGGGCGGAAUUCGUGGUGUAGCGGUGAAAUGCUUAGAUAUCACGAAGAACUCCGAUUGCGAAGACAGCUCACUGGAGCGCAACUGACGCUGAAGCUCGAAAGUGCGGGUAUCGAACAGGAUUAGAUACCCUGGUAGUCCGCACGGUAAAC